AUCUAACCACAACAUAGCAUAUAUAUAUAAUAUUAAAUCUGACCAGAUCACAUCACAAACAUCAAAUUUCAAUUCCACCAUCAAAUUUACAAAUUCAAAAGUUCUAUCAUAACAAGUUUCACAAGUUUGUCAAAUCCACAAGUUCCACUCUUUCUACAGAUCUAAAAAUCCAUAAAGAAAUCUAAUAUACUAGCUAGCUAGAACUACAAUCAAAAUCCAUCACUGAAGAGCAAGAAAUAAGAUCCUUGCCUUACAAGCUCAGCCUUGUAGAUCAAUGGUGUCCUCGUCCUACAUCUGGCUCAGCUCUAGCAACAGCAAAUAUUUGGCUUCCUGUGUUCAGAGACGCAAAGAAAUGAGAACUUAACAAUAGAUCUCCAGCGACCAAAUCUUGCUAGCGGUACACAAUUCUAUCUUAAAAAUCAAAACUUAUCUCUUAAAAAUCAAAACUAGGUUGAAAGGAGGAUAUAUAUUGUUCAGAACAAGAACCAAGUACAGUGCAUUCUAAUUAAUUUUAGUAUAAUAGAAAUUAAUAGAAAACUAAUUUACUAUGUCCUCGUCCUACAUCUGGCUCAGCUCUAGCAACAGCAAAUAUUUGGCUUCCUGUGUUCAGAGGCGCAAAGAAAUGAGAACGAUCUCCAGCGACCAAAUCUUGCUAGCGGUACACAAUUCUAUCUUAAAAAUCAAAACUUAUCUCUUAAAAAUCAAAACUAGGUUGAAAGGAGGAUAUAUAUUGUUGAGAACAAGAACCAAGUACAGUGCAUUCUAAUUAAUUUUAGUAUAAUAGAAAUUAAUAGAAAACUAAUUUACUAUUUAUGAAUCUAGUAACUAUACCUCAAAGAAACAUAUGUCAGAUAGAUACAUGCAAAAGAAAUUCUAGUUCAUUGGUAAGGAACAGACUAUGCACUAUUGCACAUCAUUAUCAUGUUCUAUUAAUUCAAAGGUAACUUUAGAGCAUCAUUCUCUACCUUCAACUUGUGAGUUCGCACACGUUGAAUCAUUGCCCUACACAAAACAGUGGUUGUAGUCUGUUAUGUAAACUUCAUAAGGCAAAACCUCACAACACAAGUCACUAAACUAUAGUCAGGCACGUUCUAGGUUCCAGGUUCCAAACAGUAUCAUAGGGUAAAAACCUCACAAGUCGCAAAUCAAAAUGAAGAUACUAGAGUUCAUUACUUCUUGCACAGUAUGCAUCUAUUGAUUGCAUCGAUCAAGGAACAAUAGAAAAUAGAGCAGCACAUGUUUUCCUAAUUCUAAGCUACCCUAAAUAGAAGUAGUGAAGUACGCAUGAGCUGUCUGCAGUCCUGUGUACAAGGUAAGCUAAAUAGAGUUAGUUUAUCCUAUUAGUUUCAUCUAAACUACAAUAUUUAAGGGGAGCAUGUGCCGUUUAAACAAAGUAACUACAACAAGAUGAUAUAUUUUAGUUAACGAUUGGCAGUAUGUCAUUACACAAAUUCAGUAAACGGUGUUGUUGGCAAAUGGCAUUGCCUACAUAGAUCCUUAGAUGGCCCCUAAAAAAAUUAUCAUCCUCCUUCAGUCUGUUGAAUUUAUAGAACAAGUUCAUAGUCUACAUCAGACAAGAAAUGCAAGUGAGAGAUAACGAUUGCACAGAACUUUAUAGCAGCAGUCAUCAACAUUAUCCAGCAUAUAAUAUGCUUCUACUCAAAGACCAAACCUAAAAAAGGUGGAAAUCUGUUUUAGAUUUGUAUGUUUUCUAGUGACUGCCUGAUGUGUAGGCUUGACUCGGUUAAGAAAGAUGUAGUGCUGACAGGUAGAACUAAAACAUGGACUAGCAUCGAAGAACUAAAACUACACAGCCAUAAAAUGCAAUGUUUGCUUGCUAACCCAAAGCAGAAAACCAUGAAAUAUAGAAAUAAAGAGAAAUUUCAAACAAAUAUUCGAGAUUACCACUGAAGAGCAAGUAUUACUAGGAGCAGUUACAAGAUGGGGAAAGUACCUUCUAGAUGAACUUGAACUUUGGAGCGCAAGAUCUAUAAUGUUGAGCAAAUAUUCCAGAUUAUUUAUUUUCAAUAUCUGUUUAUUAUUUAAUAUGUGCAAACAAUAGUAUUCACAGCUCGUAAAAAACAUCAGACAUGUUAUCACUAAUAUUUAAUUGAUGCGGAAAGUGAUGCUAACAGAGCUACUAAUAUUUAACUUUCUUCUCUAAAUCUAUAUGGAUUAGCCAUGGAUCAGAAAUUACCGAGGGGCAACCCUAACUUGCAGCACAGAUCCCCAAUUUACAGCACAUAACAAGGGGUAGCCAUGGAUCAGAAAUUACCGAGGGACAGAUCCCCAAUUUGUAGCACAUAACAAGGCUGGCACAAAACCAUCAUGGAAGGAGCUCACCACGUCGAUGCAUGCCCAUCUGGAUCUGUCUAUCUGGAUCUGCAGUGAUCAGAAGAGCAUGAUGGUGAGGGGAAGGGGACAGCACAGACAACAUCACACCCCUGGCCAGGGGCUCGGUGGCGGCAUGGCCAGCAGUGGCUGUGUGGUGCGCAGCUGCGGCCUGCCUGGCGUCGGCGGUGCGCCCAUCCAUCCCCAGCAGCCCGGCAGGGCACGACGGCCUACCUAGUGUGAGCGCACGCAAAACAAGGAGGAAGAGGAGGGGGCACCGGUGAUACACGCGGAGGAGCUAGAAGCAAGUAAUGUCACCAUGGGAGGAGCAGUAGGGAACAGCGUCGGCAUCGAGAGAGAGGGAGCCCGCUAGAGAGAAGACCGAGAGAGAGACCACGGUUACGGGAGGAGAUAACAUGGAGGGUUUG
rnacentral:lncRNA from 1 species